GCCUUCGUGGUGUAGCGGUCAGCACACUCGUAUUCGAGAGAUCCGAGGUUCGAGUCCCGGCGAGGACA
rnacentral:tRNA from 1 species